rnacentral:rRNA from 1 species
UACAGAGGUCCCGAGCGUUGUUCGGAUUCACUGGGCGUAAAGGGUGCGUAGGUGGUGAGGUAAGUCGGAUGUGAAAUCUCCGGGCUCAACCCGGAAAUGGCAUUGGAAACUACCUUGCUGGAGGAUUUGAGGGGGGAUUGGAAUACUUGGUGUAGCAGUGAAAUGCGUAGAUAUCAAGUGGAACACCAGUGGCGAAGGCGAAUCCCUGGAAAAUACCUGACACUGAGGCACGAAAGCUAGGGAGCAACAGG